UACGUAGGGUGCAGGCGUUAAUCGGAAUUACUGGGCGUAAAGCGUGCGCAGGCGGUCUUUUAAGUCAGAUGUGAAAUCCCCGGGCUUAACCUGGGAACUGCGUUUGAAACUGGAAGGCUUGAGUGUGGCAGAGGGGGGUGGAAUUCCACGUGUAGCAGUGAAGUGCGUAGAGAUGUGGAGGAACACCGAUGGCGAAGGCAGCCCCCUGGGCUAACACUGACGCUCAUGCACGAAAGCGUGGGGAGCAAACAGG
rnacentral:rRNA from 1 species